UUAGCUCAGUUGGUUAGAGCGUCGUGCUAAUAACGCGAAUGUCGUGGGUUCGAUCCCCAUA
rnacentral:tRNA from 1 species